ACGAUGAACGGCCACAACGUCUAUACGUCGA
rnacentral:sRNA from 1 species